rnacentral:rRNA from 1 species
CGAGUGAAGCGGCCAGAGCCCAAGAUGGUAAUCUCCGUGCUGCGCACGGCGAAUUGUAAUCUAGAGAGGCUAUGCUCACCGGGUGGUGGCGCAGAAGUGCCCUGGAACGGGCCGCCAGAGAGGGUGACAGCCCCGUACGUGGUGCCGCCGCCUAACGAGCAGGUCUUCAAAGAGUCGGGUUGUUUUGUAUUGCAGCCCUAAGUGGGAGAUAAACUUCUUCUAAGGCUAAAUAUAUGUGGGAAACCGAUAGCGAACAAGUACUGUGAAGGAAAGAUGAAAAGCACUUUGGAAAGAGAGUCAAAAGACCUGAAACCGUUGAGGAGGAAGCGGUAGAGAUGAAUUCUACGGCGAGGCGCUGGGAAGCCGGCCUAACCAUGGCGGGCAGGUCGUACGUCAAAGGCGGCAGUCUGUCCAAGGGGAAGCCGGUGGCUUGCGCGGCGUUGUGAGGCCGGAUGGGGUGACGUGAUCACAGAGGCCUGCUGGGCCUGGCUCAAUUCGUUGAGCAGCCCGGGAGUGCCGGUGGCCGCGUGGCCUGAGGGUGCUUUGUGCGAUCCGGUCAAAAUGGUCUUUACCGACCCGUCUUGAAACACGGACCAAGGAGUCUAACGUACGCGCGAGUGUGCCGGUGGAGAAACCGACACGCGUAAUGAAGGUGAGUGAUGCCAAGCGCAAGCAGCAGCAUCGACCGACCAUGAUCCUCUGGAGAAAGGUUUGAGUAUGAGCGUGUCCGCUAGGACCCGAAAGAUGGUGAACUAUGCCUGCGUAGGGU